UACCAAGGCGACGACGGAUAGCCGGCGUGAGAGCGUGGCCGGCCACAAGGACACUGAGAUACGGGUCCUACUCCUACGGGAGGCAGCAGUGCGGAAUUUUAGAUAAUGGAGGGAACUCUGAUCUAGCGACGCCGCGUGCAGGAAGAAGGUCUUCGGAUUGUAAACUGCUAUGGUAAGGGAAAAAUGCUAUGUAGAGUGGAAAGCUACAUAGAGGGAUGGUACCUUACUAGAAAGCCCCGGCUAACUACGUGCCAGCAGCCGCGGUAAUACGUAGGGGGCGAGCGUUACCCGGAAUCACUGGGCGUAAAGGGAGCGUAGGUGGCCUAACAUGUCAACUGUGAAAACCCGGAGCUCAACUCCGGACUUGCAGUUGAAACUGGUAGGCUUGAGGACGGUAGAGGAAGACGGAACUGCCAGUGUAGGGGUAAAAUCCUUAGAUAUUGGCAGGAACGCCGGUGACGAAGGUGGUUUUCUGGGCCGGUUCUGACACUGAUGCUCGAAAGCCAGGGGAGCGAACGGGAUUAGAUACCCCGGUAGUCCUGGCCCUAAACGAUGUUCACUAGGUGUGGGGAGCGGAAAGCCCUCCGUGCUAAAGCUAACGCGAUA
rnacentral:rRNA from 1 species